UUACUUUGCAAGUACAUAUGCCAAAAUUGAAUGAUACAGAGAAUAGCAUAGCCCCUGAGCAAGGAUGACACACCAAUUUGUAAAAUCUUCUAUUUUUAC
ensembl:snRNA U6 U6 spliceosomal RNA